GUUCCGUAGGUGAACCUGCGGAAGGAUCAUUAACGAGUUAGGGUCUUCCAGGCCCGACCUCCCAACCCUAUGUUUAUUGAACCUCUGUUGCUUCGGCGGACCCGCCUCACGGCCGCCGGAGGACCGCUGCAAGGCGUCCUCUGGCCAGCGUCCGCCGAUGGCCAACCACUUAAACUCUGAAUGAAUCGUGUCAUAUGUCUAAGUCUAUGAUUAAAUUAAAGCAAAACUUUCAACAACGGAUCUCUUGGUUCUG
rnacentral:misc_RNA from 1 species